rnacentral:rRNA from 1 species
UACGUAGGUGACAAGCGUUGUCCGGAUUUACUGGGCGUAAAGAGCGCGCAGGCGGUCGAUCAAGUCGAGUGUGGAAGCCCCCGGCUCAACUGGGGAGGGUCAUUCGAUACUGAUCGACUCGAAGGCAGGAGAGGGUAGUGGAAUUCCCGGUGUAGUGGUGAAAUGCGUAGAUAUCGGAAGGAACAUCAGUGGCGAAAGCGGCUUCCUGGACCAGAACUGACGAUCAGGCUCGAAAGCGUGGGGAGCAAACAGG